GGCACCCUGAAGCUGUUAGCAAAGAGGCUAAAAGCCAGCCUCAACUCCACGUCUUUGCAUCAUACUAGAUCAACCGAGGUUAGGUUGAGUCUGCAUUUCCAAUUCGGCAUUCGCUGAUGAUAGGCUUCAGAAACAGUCUGAUCCACAACAAGGUCGGAAACAGAAGUUUGAGAUUGCACCGAUGGACUUCUAAGUCCAGUGGGAUUUUUCCAAGGUGCUGACCACAUUGAGGAAGAGGAGACGAAGAAGGAAGGCGGCGUCGAGGCGACAUGUACUUGGCAGCUCAUGAGCAGAGUAAUGCUGCUUAAAUAACCCUCUCUCCCACAUGCACAGACACACGGCCAGACAAUAAGACACACACACUCAGACACACACACACAAACACACUCACAGAUAAUGUUAUGCACAGAAAUACCUCAGCAACUACGCAAAAUUAACUGGAUGUGAGAUACACGCAAAGAAAAGCAGGAGGGGAUGCACUGAAGAAAUAU